AUGGAGGAAGGACUGCAGAUGGCGGCCGGUGGCGGGCGCAAACGGCGGCGGCGACGGGGUCGGCGACGGCGUCUGGGACGGGGAUCUCCUGGCGGCGGACGGGCGCUCGAUUGGGCCGACCGGGGAGCGGAACCCCACGGUGACCGCGUCGCGCACGCACCAGUGGAACGCCGGCUCGCGCAGGCCCAGCGCGGCCGCAGCCUCGCAGUCGGGGCAGGGCGUCGAGGGGCGCGCCGGCCAGAGCGCCGCCGGCGGGUCGUCGAGGAGCGGCGGGAGGAGGUACGGAUCCGGCGCCGCCGUGCUCAUCAUGUACCACUCGUGCUGGCGCUGCAGCUCCCGCAGCUGCGCCUCGUAGUCCCACCCGCCGAACGCCGCCACCGGGGACGCGGCGCCCGCCAGGGACGCCAGAUCCGUCGACGGGAGCCGCUUGAGGAUGGUCCGCUCCGAGGCCGCCGUCGGCGCCAUCAGCAGCGGCUGUUGAGGACGUAG
rnacentral:rRNA from 1 species